AGCAAGAAUAAGGGCGUCCUCUGAGACCCAUAGGGCAACAUGGAAACUUGACAGCAGCUGCCUGCAGAAUGCACAUAAGGUUUUUGGCAUUGCGCUUGCACUGAAUAAAAGCAAGCAGCUCCAGCUUCUCGGGGCUGCUGUUUGGCCACCAGAGCCAGGCAGUCACCUAGCUGCUCUUAUAGUGCAUACCUGUGUCUGAAUACUCAUUUCAUUCAUCUGCCAGCAUCUGCAGGACAGACCCGGCAGGUGGUGCCCCGUGUGAGGAAUGCUGCAACAGAUUGUGACGAAACCCUCGAGAAUGAAAGUGAAGUGACUGCGCACCCUGCCGUUACCAGGUAAAGGCCCACAGAGGAGACAAAUAUUUUCCCUGAGCCCUCUCUCCCAAUGUAUUGGAAAAAAUACAAGGGAUACACUACUGUUAUCCUGUCUUAGGCAAGUGGAAUUAGAAGGGAGCUCUUAACUUGCCCGGUGAUGCAAGAUCAACAAGGCAAUCAGUAAGAAAUGUACAAACAUUAAGAAGAGCCUAUUCAGAAAAGACAG
rnacentral:antisense_RNA from 1 species